rnacentral:rRNA from 1 species
UACGAAGGGUGCAAGCGUUAAUCGGAAUUACCGGGCGUAAAGCGCGCGUAGGUGGUUUGUUAAGUUGGAUGUGAAAGCUCCGGGCUCAACCUGGGAACUGCAUCCAAAACUGGCAAGCUAGAGUACGGUAGAGGGUGGUGGAAUUUCCUGUGUAGCGGUGAAAUGCGUAGAUAUAGGAAGGAACACUAGUGGCGAAGGCGAUCACCUGGACUGAUACUGACACUGAGGUGCGAAAGCGUGGGGAGCAAAC